rnacentral:rRNA from 1 species
UACGAAGGUCCCAAGCGUUAUCCGGAUUUAUUGGGUUUAAAGGGUGCGUAGGCGGGCUAUUAAGUCAGUGGUGAAAGCCCCAAGCUUAACUUGGGAACUGCAUCCGAUACUGGAUGGCUUGAAUCCGGGAGAGGGAUGCAGAAUUCCAGGUGUAGCGGUGAAAUGCGUAGAUAUCUGGAGGAAUACCGGUGGCGAAGGCGGCAUCCUGGACCGGCAUUGACGCUGAGGAGCGAAAGCUAGGGGAGCAAACGGG